ACUGCAGGCCACGCUAUCGCCUCGGCUUAGACGAGGAGGAAAGUCCGGACAGCACAGGGCAGCGCACCACCUAACGGGUGGGUUCCGUUUAAAAGCGGAAACAGACAGUGCCACAGAAAAUAACUUCCCUUCGACUUCGCUCAGGGUGACAAUAUGAGCUUGUUGGGUGUCACCCUGAAUGAAGUCGAAGGGUAAAGGUGAAAAUGUAAGGUAAGAGCUUACAGUCUUUAAUGGUAACAGUAGAGACGGGUAAACCUUGCGCGCUGAAAUGCCAAAUAAGUGCUGCUUUUUUGUAUUUGCUGCAAAGCAAGCUGCAAAA
rnacentral:RNase_P_RNA from 1 species